GACUUUUUCCGUUCGGCCUCGUCGGUUUUGGCCAGAUGCCUUGUAGUAGGUCCUGCCAUCCUCGACGGCUGGCUAGUUAACCGCGGCGAUUCAGUCAAGCUCCAGCCUCCGUUCACAAAGGAGCCCGAUGCUGCUGCGCUCUCCCCAGAAUCCAGAGUCGAGCACCGCGUUCGCAUAGCAUCGCAUCGCAUCGCGUCCGUGUGCGUAAGCGUGUGUGAGUGUGUCAGUGGGUGAACACAGUGCGUAUGAGAUACUUUUCGGUGGCCGAGGCAUCCCAAAGCGAACCGGUGGAACGUUAAUUGUUCAGCUGCCAGCAGGGCCAAGUAAACAAAAAGAAAACGAUUCGAAAAACUCGGUAAAAGGAUUUAAAUUUCUAACAAUAUUAAACAGAUAAGCACGGCAUAUGCUAAGGCUGAAAAUAAAAGACAAGGCAGUCGCUUAAAAAAAGCCUCAACAUCAACCGGAAAUCAACGAAAUUGUCGUCACUCCAAUCAAGUGGAAAUUUGAUUAAAAAAACGUGAGGAGGAGUGAAAACCCCAAACGAAGAAUAGAAAGGACGGGAAACGAAAAUUUGAUAAAUUUCAAAAAGGACGAAGGCAAUGGACGAGUUUGAAAAGGAAGCGUCGGGAAAAUAGAGAGGACGUCGGUGCGAGUAUAUCAAAAGGUAGCAGCGGAGGAAAUCAACACGCACGCACAUGAACGAGUUUGUUGCACGGGCACGGGCACACCGAAAAACAUUAAAAACCAACGGAGCGUAAAACUUACACAAUCCUUGCAACAAAAAACCCACGUGGAUGUAAAAAAAAAGGAACAGAAACUCGAAGCAAAUGCGAGUUACAAUAAAAAUAAAAACAAAGCGGGUGGAGUAGCCAAGUGAGAGAACAAUUUUUAGUGGAAAAAAUUAAAAGAUUUCGCCUGGAAAAGCAGAGAAAAAUAAAGCACAGGCCCCAACGCCACUACAAUGAGAAGCAGGAUGAAGCAGCUGACGGCCAGGACACAUAAACGUCUUUUUCUUGCCUAAUACGCUCUCCGUUGGGGUAGAGCACGAAAUUAAGUGCAGAUUAUCAGAAGAUUAUAUUUUAAUAGCAUUUCAAGCUGUUUCCUUUCGCCAACAAAGGCAGACAGGACAGCGAGGACCUCGCCGCCGCAGAGACAAGAAAGGGAACUGAACGGACGAAGGCUGACCCUAGUGUGUGUGUUCUACAAGUGCGGCUUAUUGCAUGAUUACCGUCAAGAUUUUUUGCGAGCCUCCGUCUGCUGGAAGGAGAGUGUCAAACAUACAAGCGUGCCACAAAUUGAAAUUAAAGAAGGAAUUACGUGUCGCGAGUGCGCUCCAGUGCGGGCUUAAUAAAUACUUGUGCUAGUGUUCGUGAGUGUUUGCAGAAAACCCAACAAAUAUCAAGUAUACGCCGUGAGGUCCGGGCGUGAGAAAGCAAGGAAGUCAUCAACAGAAUUAACCCGCCUGGCCGAAGAGAAGAGGAGACUCUGAGAAGCGGCAAGUGGAGCGUGAGGCCAAACUAAACAGGAGGUAAGUUGGACAAACA